GCAGGUGAAUGCAACGUCAAGCGAUGGGCGUUGCGCUCCAUAAUUGUCUUAUUUCUUAUGUUUAGAAUUACUGCAUAGCACAUAUUGAUUCAUACCCGCCGGUCCUUCAGACCGGCUUUU
rnacentral:sRNA from 1 species